rnacentral:rRNA from 1 species
GACGAACGCUGGCGGCGUGCUUAACACAUGCAAGUCGAACGAAGUGGCGAACGGGUGAGUCACGCGUAAUCAACCUGCCCUUCAGAGGGGGACAACAGUUGGAAACGACUGCUAAUACCGCAUACUGAAGGAGGGGAUUGCGUCUGAUUAGCUAGUUGUAGGGGUAACGGCCCAACAAGGCGAUGAUCAGUAGCCGGUCUGAGAGGAUGAAUGGCCACACUGGGACUGAGACACGGCCCAGAAGCCGACGGGAUGCAGCAGUGGGGAAUCUUCCGCAAUGGAAGAAAGUCUGACGGAGCAACGCCGCGUGAGUGAUGACGGCCUUCGGGUUGUAAAGCUCUUUUAAUCGGGACGCGGUACCGGAAUAGAAAGCCACGGCUAACUACGUGCCAGCCGCCGCGGUAAUUC